GGGCUGUAGCUCAGCUGGUAGAGUACUUGCUUAUCAAGCACAAAGCCAUGGGUUCAAACCCCAGCACCCA
rnacentral:tRNA from 1 species